AUCACUAUACAACUCAGGCUGCAUUGGAGAAGGGAGGGCGUUCAAAACCUUGGAAAAGUCUUCAGGUAUGGCAUUGAGUUGGCCUGCAACAUCAACCCUCGGCUCCAAUCCUGUAGGCAUCAAGGGUCAGAAAAGCACUGCUGUAAAUUAUCCUAUCUAAUCAAAUAAGGUAAAUGAUCAUCAGUUUCAAAGGUAAGUUACAGGAGGGAUUAGUGGCAAGAAUGGCAAGAAACAAAAUAAAAACAUUAUGCCA
rnacentral:misc_RNA from 1 species